GGCGGGGUGCUGGUGAGCCCGUUUCUACCGGCCGCGGUAUUGGCGCUGGCGCUGACCUUCGGGCUGCGUGCACUGCUGCGCGCGGCCGGCCUGGGGCGCUGGAUCUGGCAUGAAGCGCUGUUCGAUUGCGCGCUG
rnacentral:sRNA from 1 species